UGGGGAAUAUUGCGCAAUGGGGGGAACCCUGACGCAGCCAUGNCGCGUGAAUGAAGAAGGCCUUAGGGUUGUAAAGUUCUUUCGGUAUUGAGGAAGGUUGAUGUGUUAAUAGCACAUCAAAUUGACGUUAAAUACAGAAGAAGCACCGGCUAACUCCGUGCCAGCAGCCGCGGUAAUACGGAGGGUGCGAGCGUUAAUCGGAAUAACUGGGCGUAAAGGGCACGCAGGCGGUUAUUUAAGUGAGGUGUGAAAGCCCCGGGCUUAACCUGGGAAUUGCAUUUCAGACUGGGUAACUAGAGUACUUUAGGGAGGGGUAGAAUUCCACGUGUAGCGGUGAAAUGCGUAGAGAUGUGGAGGAAUACCGAAGGCGAAGGCAGCCCCUUGGGAAUGUACUGACGCUCAUGUGCGAAAGCGUGGGGAGCAAACAGGAUUAGAUACCCUGGUAGUCCACGCUGUAAACGCUGUCGAUUUGGGGGUUGGGGUUUAACUCUGGCGCCCGUAGCUAACGUGAUAAAUCGACCGCCUGGGGAGUACGGCCGCAAGGUUA
rnacentral:rRNA from 1 species